AUUGAACGCUGGCGGCAGGCCUAACACAUGCAAGUCGAACGAGUGGCGGACGGGAGAGUAAUGUCUGGGAAACUGCCUGAUGGAGGGGGAUAACUACUGGAAACGGUAGCUAAUACAGCAUACCAUCAGAUGUGCCCAGCUGGGAUUAGCUAGUUGGUGGGGGAACGGAUCACCAAGGCGACGAUCCCUAGCUGGUCGGAGAGGAUGACCAGCCACACUGGAACUGAGACACGGUCCAGACUCCUACGGGAGGCGGCAGUGGUGAUUGUUGCACAAUGGUCGCAAGCCUGAUGCAGCCAUGCCGCGUGUAUGUAGAAGUCCUUCGGGUUGUAAAGUACUUUCAGCGGGGCGGCGUUGCCCGCUGAAGUAGCACCGGCUGACUCCGUGCCAGCAGCCGCGGUAAUAC
rnacentral:rRNA from 1 species